rnacentral:lncRNA from 1 species
GUGGUUCGAGGAUUCAUACUGUCAUGCUGACUGAAUGCUGGCCUCCGUGUGCGGUAGUGAGUGACAUGGAUGUAACUGCUGCACUCACUGCUGUGUCUGCCAGGUGGUGCCACUCACGAUGGUGCUGACGUCCGCAGGCCUCGACGUGACGCAAAAGUCCCACAAUGACGUCACCACACAUUUGACGCACGAUGUGACGAUGUCGCUGUCAUUGGCGUGUUUCCUUGGAGACAACAAUGAUGGCGGCGAUUCACUUCUGCGGUUGUAAAGGAUCUAUUCUCCUGUUUACUCAAGGUGUACCACAACAAAUCUACAGUCAUCCGCAUUCAGGACAGACGUGAGAAGCCUCACAGUACCAAUGUGUAACGAUGAGCUUACGUUCUCCAUGCUGCAGCCAAAGGGAGAACAGGAAAAAUUACGUUUGCAUCACCAUGACGUCCAGUGACGACUCCGUCUAAAGCCAAAGCAGAUACGAGAGCACUUGAAGGAUGAAUAUAGACAACCUGGGAAUCAACUAUAGUGAGAUAUCCUUCUUGUGAGUCCUUGGCAGCAUUGCGGAAGAAACCACUGAUGGCUUUUUGAACGCUUGCUGGGUUCUUGCCAGAUAACACAACAUCUAGCUUGUGCCUACAAAAAUAUAUGUAGGUCUAAAUUUCCAUUUUUUUUUUUUUUACAAACUAAACCAUUUUUAGAGGUAUGUCUCAUUUGAUGCUUGCUAUGUCUGAAAAUCUCCAUUAGUGGUAAUCAACAUUUUUUGUGAUCUGCAAAAUGGUAUAUCUGUGGAUCUUAAUUAUUUACUUGUCUGCAGAUAUACCAUUUUGCAGUUAACUUUAUGCAGCCUUCGUAGUGUUUAAAAGUUGUAGAACUUAGCGCGGUAACAAGUUUCAUGGCUGGCAAAGAUUGAAACGAAGCAAGAUGGAAGAACAGGAGAUAGAAGGUUGAGAGUCGCUUAUGACAAUGUGCUAUUUAUAUAUGUAGAUAUGUAGGUUGAGUAACCUUUGUCAUUCUGUGGCUUAUCUGGUGUAGUCAUUCGUUUUAUAUAUAUAUAAAGUACACACAUGUAUUGAUGUAAGUUAUGUGAAAUAUACUGCCCUCCCCUCAAAUCAACACAAGCUCCCGAAUAACAGAGAAUUGUAAGCCCACGUACAGGUCUGUGUAAUCUGUGGUAAGACAGAACACAUGUGGGACACAGUGCUUUGUCUGUGACGUGUGUUCGUCCCCAACAGAUACUUUUUUCUUCUGUUUACAUUAGCUGCUUCAAGAUACAUCAAAAAGCAACUGUGAGUAAACUAGGCUAGGAUCUGUAGCAACGUUCAGUUAAAUAGAUUGGGAUCGUUAGGAAAAGUGUUUUACUAAUAUUUGUAUUCUCAUCAUCGUCAUCGUCAUCCUCACCUCCAUAAUUUUUGUUGUCGCUGAUACAUGCUCACAGCGUAAAUAGUAAACAGUUUAAGGGAAAGACAACCUCUCAGUGUGAGUUGUGCAAAAGGAUACAGCAUUUAUCUCCCUUUCUACACAAAUGUCUGUAUUUGUAAAUUAAAUCCUUGAUGACCAGUUGAAAAAUUAUAUAAAGCUUGUUACUUUGAAAAUAAAGAGCGCAUGUACUUAUUACGUACGUAUGAGUGUAUACAUAAAAGUGUUUUAGUGUAUGUGUAUCUAUGUAUCCAUUCAUGAAUGCACUAAUAAUGAUCGGGAGCCUUUCGAAAUCAGUGGUAUCUGAAUGAAGAAUCGCUCACAUAAAUAUGAAACUGUAUGGCCGUAUGUAUGAUG